GCUUACGGCCAUACCACCCUGAGAACGCCCGAUCUCGUCUGAUCUUGGAAGCUAAGCAGCGUCGGGCCUGGUUAGUACUUGGAUGGGCGACCGCCUGGGAAUACCAGGUGCUGAAAGCU
ensembl:rRNA 5S_rRNA 5S ribosomal RNA